ACAAUGGAGAGUUUGAUCCUGGCUCAGGAUGAACGCUAGCUACAGGCCUAACACAUGCAAGUCGUGGGGCAGCGGGUAUGCUUGUUUUCAAGUAUAUGCCGGCGACCGGCGCACGGGUGAGUAACGCGUAUCCAACCUGCCCAUCACAAGGGAAUAACCCGUCGAAAGUCGGCCUAAUGCCCUAUGUAUUCUGAUGAAGUCCUCUGAAUCGGAAUAAAGCAUUUGCGGUGAUGGAUGGGGAUGCGUCUGAUUAGCUUGUCGGCGGGGUAACGGCCCACCGAGGCGACGAUCAGUAGGGGUUCUGAGAGGAAGGUCCCCCACAUUGGAACUGAGACACGGUCCAAACUCCUACGGGAGGCAGCAGUGAGGAAUAUUGGUCAAUGGGCGUGAGCCUGAACCAGCCAAGUAGCGUGCAGGAUGACGGCCCUAUGGGUUGUAAACUGCUUUUAUACGGGGAUAAAAGGGUGAACGUGUUCUCCUUUGCAGGUACCGUAUGAAUAAGGACCGGCUAAUUCCGUGCCAGCAGCCGCGGUAAUACGGAAGGUCCUGGCGUUAUCCGGAUUUAUUGGGUUUAAAGGGAGCGCAGGCUGCACUUUAAGCGUGUUGUGAAAUGUACCGGCUCAACCGGUAACGUGCAGCGCGAACUGGGGUGCUUGAGUACGAAGAGGGAAGGCGGAACUCGUGGUGUAGCGGUGAAAUGCUUAGAUAUCACGAGGAACUCCGAUCGCGAAGGCAGCUUUCCGUUUCGGGACUGACGCUGAGGCUCGAAAGUGCGGGUAUCGAACAGGAUUAGAUACCCUGGUAGUCCGCACGGUAAACGAUGGAUGCUCGCUGUUGGAUAUUUUUAUUCAGUGGCUAAGUGAAAACGUUAAGCAUCCCACCUGGGGAGUACGCCGGCAACGGUGAAACUCAAAGGAAUUGACGGGGGCCCGCACAAGCGGAGGAACAUGUGGUUUAAUUCGAUGAUACGCGAGGAACCUUACCCGGGCUUGAAUUGCAGCUGAACGAUCCAGAGAUGGUGAGGCCCUUCGGGGCAGCUGUGAAGGUGCUGCAUGGUUGUCGUCAGCUCGUGCCGUGAGGUGUCGGCUUAAGUGCCAUAACGAGCGCAACCCCUCUCCGCAGUUGCCAUCGGUUGAUGCCGGGCACUCUGCGGACACUGCCUCCGCAAGGAGUGAGGAAGGUGGGGAUGACGUCAAAUCAGCACGGCCCUUACGUCCGGGGCUACACACGUGUUACAAUGGCGCGUACAGAGUGUCGGUGCUGUGCAAACAGUAUCUAAUCAAUAAAACGCGUCCCAGUUCGGACCGGGGUCUGCAACCCGACCCCGCGAAGCUGGAUUCGCUAGUAAUCGCGCAUCAGCCAUGGCGCGGUGAAUACGUUCCCGGGCCUUGUACACACCGCCCGUCAAGCCAUGAAAGCCGGGGGCGCCUGAAGUCCGUGACCGCAAGGAUCGGCCUAGGGCGAGACCGGUGAUUGGGGCUAAGUCGUAACAAGGUAGCCGUACCGGAAGGUGCGGCUGGAACACCUCCUUU
rfam:Prevotella pleuritidis F0068 contig00037, whole genome shotgun sequence.